UACAGAGGUCUCAACCGUUGUUCGGAUUCAUUGGGCGUAAAGGGUGCGUAGGCGGCGGGGCAAGUCAGGUGUGAAAUCUCGGGGCUCAACCCCGAAACUGCACUUGAUACUGCCUUGCUCGAGUACUGGAGAGGAGACUGGAAUUUACGGUGUAGCAGUGAAAUGCGUAGAUAUCGUAAGGAAGACCAGUGGCGAAGGCGGCUCACUGGCCCGAUACUGACGCUGAGGCACGAAGGCGUGGGGAGCAAACAGG
rnacentral:rRNA from 1 species